GAUGAACGCUGGCGGCGUGCUUAACACAUGCAAGUCGAACGGAAAGGCUCCUGCUUGCCGGGGCACUCGAGUGGCGAACGGGUGAGUAACACGUGGGUGAUCUGCCCUGCACUUCGGGAUAAGCCUGGGAAACUGGGUCUAAUACCGGAUAGGACCAUCGUUUAGUGUCGGUGGUGGAAAGUUUUUUCGGUGUGGGAUGAGCUCGCGGCCUAUCAGCUUGUUGGUGGGGUAAUGGCCUACCAAGGCGUCGACGGGUAGCCGGCCUGAGAGGGUGGACGGCCACAUUGGGACUGAGAUACGGCCCAGACUCCUACGGGAGGCAGCAGUGGGGAAUAUUGCACAAUGGGCGCAAGCCUGAUGCAGCGACGCCGCGUGGGGGAUGACGGCCUUCGGGUUGUAAACUCCUUUCGCCAGGGACGAAGCGAAAGUGACGGUACCUGGAGAAGAAGCACCGGCUAACUACGUG
rnacentral:rRNA from 1 species